AAAGGCUGGGGGGCGUGCUUACACAUGCAGUCGAGCGGAAAGGCCCUUCGGGGUACUCGAGCGGCGAACGGGUGAGUAACACGUGAGUAACCUGCCCCUGACUCUGGGAUAAGCCUGGGAAACCGGGUCUAAUACCGGAUAUGACACUCCUCCGCAUGGUGUGGGUGUGGAAAGUUUUUUCGGUUGGGGAUGGACUCGCGGCCUAUCAGCUUGUUGGUGGGGUGAUGGCCUACCAAGGCGACGACGGGUAGCCGGCCUGAGAGGGCGACCGGCCACACUGGGACUGAGACACGGCCCAGACUCCUACGGGAGGCAGCAGUGGGGAAUAUUGCGCAAUGGGCGAAAGCCUGACGCAGCGACGCCGCGUGGGGGAUGACGGCCUUCGGGUUGUAAACCUCUUUCAGCAGGGACGAAGUUGACGUGUACCUGUAGAAGAAGCGCCGGCUAACUACGUGCCAGCAGCCGCGGUAAUACGUAGGGCGCGAGCGUUGUCCGGAAUUAUUGGGCGUAAAGAGCUCGUAGGUGGCUUGUUGCGUCUGCCGUGAAAGCCCGUGGCUUAACUACGGGUCUGCGGUGGAUACGGGCAGGCUAKAGGCUGGUAGGGGCAAGCGGAAUUCCUGGUGUARCGGUGAAAUGCGCAGAUAUCAGGAGGAACACCGGUGGCGAAGGCGGCUUGCU
rnacentral:rRNA from 1 species